rnacentral:rRNA from 1 species
GAUGAACGCUGGCGGCGUGCCUAAUACAUGCAAGUCGAGCGAACAGACGAGGAGCUUGCUCCUCUGACGUUAGCGGCGGACGGGUGAGUAACACGUGGAUAACCUACCUAUAAGACUGGGAUAACUUCGGGAAACCGGAGCUAAUACCGGAUAAUAUUUUGAACCGCAUGGUUCAAUAGUGAAAGACGGUUUUGCUGUCACUUAUAGAUGGAUCCGCGCCGCAUUAGCUAGUUGGUAAGGUAACGGCUUACCAAGGCGACGAUGCGUAGCCGACCUGAGAGGGUGAUCGGCCACACUGGAACUGAGACACGGUCCAGACUCCUACGGGAGGCAGCAGUAGGGAAUCUUCCGCAAUGGGCGAAAGCCUGACGGAGCAACGCCGCGUGAGUGAUGAAGGUCUUCGGAUCGUAAAACUCUGUUAUUAGGGAAGAACAAAUGUGUAAGUAACUAUGCACGUCUUGACGGUACCUAAUCAGAAAGCUACGGCUAACUACGUG